UACGAAGGGGGCUAGCGUUGCUCGGAAUCACUGGGCGUAAAGCGCACGUAGGCGGAUCUUUAAGUCAGGGGUGAAAUCCUGGAGCUCAACUCCAGAACUGCCUUUGAUACUGGGGAUCUCGAGUCCGGGAGAGGUGAGUGGAAUUGCCGGUGUAGUGGUGAAAUGCGUAGAGAUCGGCAGGAACACCCAGGGGGAAACCAGCCGGCUGGGGACGGGCUGACGCUCAGGGGCGAAAGCGUGGGGAGCGAACCGG
rnacentral:rRNA from 1 species